AGCGGCGGACGGGUGAGUAACACGUGGGUAACCUGCCCAUAAGACUGGGAUAACUCCGGGAAACCGGGGCUAAUACCGGAUAACAUUUUGAACUGCAUGGUUCGAAAUUGAAAGGCGGCUUCGGCUGUCACUUAUGGAUGGACCCGCGUCGCAUUAGCUAGUUGGUGAGGUAACGGCUCACCAAGGCAACGAUGCGUAGCCGACCUGAGAGGGUGAUCGGCCACACUGGGACUGAGACACGGCCCAGACUCCUACGGGAGGCAGCAGUAGGGAAUCUUCCGCAAUGGACGAAAGUCUGACGGAGCAACGCCGCGUGAGUGAUGAAGGCUUUCGGGUCGUAAAACUCUGUUGUUAGGGAAGAACAAGUGCUAGUUGAAUAAGCUGGCACCUUGACGGUACCUAACCAGAAAGCCACGGCUAACUACGUGCCAGCAGCCGCGGUAAUACGUAGGUGGCAAGCGUUAUCCGGAAUUAUUGGGCGUAAAGCGCGCGCAGGUGGUUUCUUAAGUCUGAUGUGAAAGCCCACGGCUCAACCGUGGAGGGUCAUUGGAAACUGGGAGACUUGAGUGCAGAA
rnacentral:rRNA from 2 species